AGUGUGUGUUUGUUGGUCUGUCUGCAUCUGUAUCUGUCUGUCCAUCUAUGUAUGUGUUUCCACUUCUAGAUGGCAUAAGCUGUCUCAUUUAAGAAUAAUAAUAGGGAAACCGCAGUAUUCACAGCCAGCAGACAAGAGUCUUUUCGAUGAAGUAUUUGAGAAAGGUACUGAGGAGGUAGACAUUUUAAAUCUCAAAUUUCCUUGGCAUUGCAACUUUGCCUCUAGCGGCAUAUUUUCAAAAAUACAUUCACAGAUUUCAAGGCCACUUACAGCUAUCACCCAUAUUAGUGCCCAUCGAUGCACAGUGUGGGUAGAAUAUAAUUCAUGGCACACUUAAAUGAAUGAGAUCUACCUACACAUAGCACAUCGGAGAGUUCCAAUACCUGUUUCAUCACAUCAAUAACAGAAUAGGAUACCAUUGGUAUUAAAAACUAAAAGCUCCCUCUCCCAUGUCUCCUCGAACUAGCAAAAGCCGCACGUCCACGAGGCUGCGUGGGUCCUCUGGCUCAGCCAGUAAAUCCUAAGGAGACAACCAGCCUGGCAGUGAUCAGUAGGAGCUGCCCUGAGCAGCAGUAGUGUUAACUCUUUCAGCCCUCACGUGUUUGCUAUGACACGCAUGCUCCUUCUGUGCUUUUAUUUGAAAAAGCACUGGACUUAAGGUAGUUUUCAGCUUAUUAUUUUAAAUUUGGACUCUUUAUUUAAUUCAGAUUUUUUUCCACACUCCAAGAUGCCAUAGUUUGAGGAUUGAGUUUUAUUGAAUACUUCACAUUCCUAGAUAAUCAUGUCUAAGUGGUGUUACCUUCAACUUCAUGAUGAAAGUUGAGCCAAAAUAUAAUUGGACAGAUUAAAAACAAAACUAAACUAAACUAAAAGCUCGACAUUACAAAGCCAAAUGCAAAUGCACGAGGAACGUCAGACCAGGUAGAAAUCAGGAAGGGGAGGUAGAAAGGUGUACUUAGAAUCCCUUCAGUGCUUCGCUUAGUAGUUAACACAGGUUCAAAGUCCUUAACAGAGAAUACAUCCUUGUGUCAGUAAAGCCAGUCAGAACCAAAAGGUACAACAAUGGUGGAAAAUCUUUCCCUUUUGGAUCCCUAGACCCAUUUUGUGGUGGACAAGAUGGUCCUCAAUUUGGCUAGCCCAGUCGUUUGUCUUAUGACCUGUGGAGUGAGAUGGGACCAAGUUUUCAGUGACUGUAGAAGAAAAACCAAGUGUAUUUGCAAAGCAGAUUAUUCAUCACAACAACCUUCUCAUAAAUCCACCACCCUAGAUGCACAUUUACCAAACUUUGUACUUUUCCCCAAUGGAAUUGAGAAUUUUCGAUCCUGAAACUUCUAGUUGCUAAGCAAUACUUCCUUCUCUGUGGAGCAUGGCUGCCACUCCACACUCACUUUUUAUGGUCUUCAUCUCUCCCUUUGUUUUCUCCUGAUCACCAUGACUCUUAUGCGUUCAUACAGCUCUCUAGUUCUUCUAUGGAUGCAGUGUUCCUCUCAAUUGCUCUAGCCUGAUGACUGGGGAGGAUAGUCCUCAGGAGAUGACCCAAGCCCUGAAAUUUGGGACCAGAGGUUUACUCUUCAUCCAUUUGUAUGUAUUGGUUAUUCAUCCUGUGUGUGAUAAAUAGCAUAGUGUUUGAGAACUACCACUAUGGGAAAAUCC